UACGUAGGGGGCAAGCGUUGUCCGGAAUUAUUGGGCGUAAAGAGCGUGUAGGCGGUCCGGUAAGUCGGCUGUGAAAGUCCAGGGCUCAACCCUGGGAUGCCGGUCGAUACUGCCGGACUAGAGUUCGGAAGAGGCGAGUGGAAUUCCCGGUGUAGCGGUGAAAUGCGCAGAUAUCGGGAGGAACACCUAUGGCGAAGGCAGCUCGCUGGGACGUUACUGACGCUGAGACGCGAAAGCGUGGGGAGCUAACAGG
rnacentral:rRNA from 1 species